rnacentral:ncRNA from 1 species
ACAAGGUCUUGGUCUUAACCUAUUAUUACCUCCCCCCUCUAAUUAUACAUGCAAGCCUCACCACUACAGUGAAAUAGCCCACCACCCACAACAUCGGAGCCGGUAUCAGGUAACCGCCAAUGACACCAAGCCAACUUAAGCCACACCCCCACGGGCCCGCAGCAGUAGUUAAUAUUAGGCCAUAAGCGAUUUUAAAACUUGACCUAGUAAAGGGAAUUUUAGGGCCGGUUAAUCUCGUGCCAGCGACCGCGGUUAUACGACAGACCCAAGGCAAUAGUGCCGGCGUAAAGCACGACCAGAUUAAUAAUAACUAUUGGGAACGAAUCUACCCCAGGCUGUAAAAAGCCAUAAGACACAAUAACCCCCCCCCCAUACAAAACAAUUUCAACUCGUGAAAGUAGGAAUACAAACUAAGAUUAGAUACCUUACUAUGCCUAACCUAACACACAAUAAAAUCACCAAUUGUUCGCCAAAUAACUACGAGUAAAAACUUAAAAUUUAAAAGACUUGACGGUACUUCACACCACCCUAGAGGAGCCUGUCCAAUAACCGAUACCCCACGAUUAACCCAACCCCCCCUAGCCCCCCAGUCUAUAUACCGCCAUCGCCAGCUUACCUUGUGAAAGAAACAAAGCGAGCCCAAAAGCAGUCAUCACUAACACGAUAGGUCGAGGUGUAACUAAUGGGCGGGGACAAGAUGGGCUACAUUUUCUAAUAUAGAAAACACGAAUAAACUAUGAAAGUAUAAACCGAAGGUGGAUUUAGCAGUAUGCUAAGGACAAAAUACUUAACUGAAACAAACGCAAUGAAGUGCGUACACACCGCCCGUCAUCCCUGCCUAAAAAAAAUAAACUCUAUAAAUCAACAUAACCCCCAAACAGGGCAAGUCGUAACAUGGUAAGCGUACUGGAAAGUGCGCUUAGAAACA